UGCAUCUUGCUCUUCUCUUCCUGUCUUCUACUGCAGGACCCUCUUUUUAUCCAUGUUUGGGAAAUUUCCAUUGCUGCUGGGGGAAAGGGGCUUUCCUCCUGAGUGAAGACAGGGAUCUGACUUGAAGCACGCCAGGGGAAGCAAAGCCUCCAUGUGAACAUCACAGGGGGGACUGUUUCUUCAUCCCACUGCUUUUCCAGAAUCCUCAGUGCGUGUUCCUGCAGGAAUGCUCCUGCCCAGGCAGGCGCAUCCAGCCCAGGGUGUUCACUGGCUCCAGCUUAAAUCCUGCAAUCCCUGUCAACCGUGGGCUUGCUCACUUGAAGGCCUCUCUCUUGCCUGGCUCGUUUUGUGCCAUGACCCUCCAUCCAGCCCCAUCACCUCUCCCUGGUGCAGUGGGAAGGCAAAGCUGAGCAUCCCUGGAUGGGGCUGCCCAAGGCGAAGGGUUUUCAUGCCUGAAUUGACAUUGUUCUUGGCUCUGCCCAGGCCAGAGGGGAGAACAGCUGAGCUGUUGACAAUAUUGUUUCAUAGACUGCUCAAAAGCAGCGCCUGUUUUCCAGAAGUGCAGUGAAACAUUCAUGAGUAGGGGACGUGGCGCAGCUCCGGAGCCCUGCAGGGGACAAGGGACAGUCGGGGUUUUGGAUAUGCACAUCCCAGCUCAUGUGGGGUUUUGGCAGGACACACCUAUCUCAUUUUCACUCCCCUCUUCUAAGGUGUGCUCCCUCAGGUACCCUGGUUUGAGGGCCAGCAGGGACAUGUCCCAGCUCCAGGGCAGGUGAGGUGCUGCCCUGCUUUGCCUGGCUCUCGUGAGCUCUUUCCUUCUGUAGGGUGCAUAAAUCCUGGUGGAAAGCUGUGGAGCUGCAAAAGUCCUGUGCCUGCCCUGGGGUCCCUCAGGACAAGAUGAAAUGGCCUCAAGUUGCACCAGGGAAGGUUUAGGUUGGAUAUUAGGAAAAUUUUUUCGUGGAAAGGUUUGUCAAGCGUUGGAACAGUCUGCCCAGGGCAGUGGUGGAGUCAUCACCUCUGGAAGCGUUCAAAAAAUAUGUGGAUCUGGCACCCAAGGACAUGGUUUGGUGGAGAACAUGAUGGUGCUGAUGGACUGAUGGUUGAAUCUGAUCUCAGGGGUCUUUUCUCACCUUAACAAUUCCCCAGUUCAAUGUGAUUCCAUGAUUUAUGCCAGUGGAGAAAUAGAUGGAGUAAAGCUGGAUGCUAGGAGUCUAAACCUUUGCUAAUCCACCUUAAAUCUGGACAUUUAUUGGAAAGAAGGGAAUAGCGUGGCAGGUUUUUCCCUCUGUGCAGAGGAGAGGUCGUUCAUUUGUCCUUGUCCAGCUCCCCUUUGGUUAUUUCCAGAGCUCCAGCCUUUUCCUUGUGUGGAAGUUCCGUAAGUCCUUCUGAAUAAUGACCAGUUCUUUUCCCAGCACAGGAUCACUCCAGAGCUCAUCAAGAUUAAAUAGACAUAUAUUUUCUACAAACAGACACUCUAAGCAGAAUUGUACCCUGGCUGUAGCUAAAUGUGGGGAUAAAUCAGAAUUUGAGUUUUGCCGUGAUGUCUGUGAUUGUUCCCCUGUAUCUCUGGCAUAAGGGAUAUAAAAAUACUUAUCAAGUACAUUGUACAUCCAGGAUGUCUCAGCUCUUGCAUGAUUUUGUCUGCAUUUCUCAGGAGUUAAUAUUUGAGGUUUCUUCUAGGGAUGUGUCAAAGGAAAAGCUGGAUUUGAGCUCCAUUCAGAAAGUUCUCCCAUAUCCAGAAUUACUUAGUGUUUAUAAAAGUAAUUUGGUUCUGCGGAAGAUGUUUAAUGAAUCUCCUGGAAAUGGGAGGUUCUGUCCUGUUGAGCAGAGCCUGGGACCUGAGCAGGGCUGUGGUUUAACAUCCUCCCCACUCACCCAGGGACGUCCAGCCUAAACCCUUCCUUCCUGCCCAAAGUGGAAUUAUCAUUAACUCAUAACUAGUUUUCAAGAAGAACAUUUUUUUUUUUUUGUAGGCUGUGGAGUUCUUCCAAGAAUUUUUCAAUUUUUACAAAUGAAAAUAUAAGCUCAGCCAGAUGCCAGCUAAAAUGCAGCUCUGUUACACCAGCCAGCCCAGGCACCACAGGCUCAGCACCAUGACCUUUCAAGCAGCUUUUCUAGAACAAGCUGGGAGAACACUCUCCAAAAAGCCACAAUUGCAGCUGCUCUCAUUACUUAUAACAUCCCUGAUGGAGAGGAAUUUAAAAAUAAUUCUUAAGGAACUUAAGCUUCAACAGCCCCCAGUGGGCUCAGUUUAUGUGCAGUGCAGGCUUCCCUCGUGGAAUUACA